CAACCCCAGAAGGCAAGCCUUCUGGGGUUGUAGGACACUCCUUUGGAGUUACAAAGAAACCAUAUAGACGAAGCGGCUUGGAAUGGCCCGCCAUAGAAGGUAAGAGCCCUGUACUUGAAAUGUGGUUUCCUCCGGAGUGUAUCCUGAGUACGGCGGAACACGUGAAAUUCCGUCGGAAUCCGGGAGGACCAUCUCCCAAGGCUAAAUACUCCCUAGUGACCGAUAGUGAACCAGUACCGUGAGGGAAAGGUGAAAAGCACCCCGGAAGGGGAGUGAAAUAGAUCCUGAAACCGU
rnacentral:rRNA from 1 species